GUAUGGCGGGAGCUGCAUAUUGUAAACAACGCCAAAUGACGAUUUUCCUGGAAAGGUCUGUCAAGAGUUAUUGAAGUCAUUCAACGUUUGUCAACUUCCAUCUGAUGCUUUAAAAGUAACUGUAGUUGUCAAAGACACCAUAUGACUGUUGCAUUAAAACAAAAAAAUGACAGCGUCUGAGACCAGACACUUUCGACAUACAGGGCCAAGCUGUGUUGAAAGCUGGGAAUAAACGUUUUUGUCAUAUCAAGAUCUAAAGAAACAAGUAAAGCAAGAGCCCCCUGCUGGUCCAGAGAACAGUCUUCACGCAGAGACAAAAUGGAUUAGAGAGAAUGCAACAAAACAACACAGUGGCUCCAUAAACUAUUGUCUCUCUUUUUCUUUUAAAUAUCUUUGAUGCAAUUUUAACAGACCUGUAGUGUUCUGUUAUGUUGACACUGUUUAUAAUAUAUCACAACUCUGUUCAGUAUACUUUAAUUUUAACACUUUUUGUUUAUAAU
ensembl:lncRNA